rnacentral:rRNA from 1 species
GAUGAACGCUGGCGGCGUGCCUAAUACAUGCAAGUCGAGCGAACGGACGAGAAGCUUGCUUCUCUGAUGUUAGCGGCGGACGGGUGAGUAACACGUGGAUAACCUACCUAUAAGACUGGGAUAACUUCGGGAAACCGGAGCUAAUACCGGAUAAUAUUUUGAACCGCAUGGUUCAAAAGUAAAAGACGGUCUUGCUGUCACUUAUAGAUGGAUCCGCGCUGCAUUAGCUAGUUGGUAAGGUAACGGCUUACCAAGGCAACGAUGCAUAGCCGACCUGAGAGGGUGAUCGGCCACACUGGAACUGAGACACGGUCCAGACUCCUACGGGAGGCAGCAGUAGGGAAUCUUCCGCAAUGGGCGAAAGCCUGACGGAGCAACGCCGCGUGAGUGAUGAAGGUCUUCGGAUCGUAAAACUCUGUUAUUAGGGAAGAACAUAUGUGUAAGUAACUGUGCACAUCUUGACGGUACCUAAUCAGAAAGCCACGGCUAACUACGUGCCAGCAGCCGCGGUAAUACGUAGGUGGCAAGCGUUAUCCGGAAUUAUGGGCGUAAAGCGCGCGUAGGCGGUUUUUUAGUCUGAUGUGAAAGCCCACGGCUCAACCGUGGAGGGUCAUUGGAAACUGGAAAACUUGAGUGCAGAAGAGGAAAGUGGAAUUCCAUGUGUAGCGAUGAAAUGCGCAGAGAUAUGGAGGAACACCAGUGGCGAAGGCGACUUUCUGGUCUGUAACUGACGCUGAUGUGCGAAAGCGUGGGGAUCAAACAGGAUUAGAUACCCUGGUAGUCCACGCCGUAAACGAUGAGUGCUAAGUGUUAGGGGGUUUCCGCCCCUUAGUGCUGCAGCUAACGCAUUAAGCACUCCGCCUGGGGAGUACGACCGCAAGGUUGAAACUCAAAGGAAUUGACGGGGACCCGCACAAGCGGUGGAGCAUGUGGUUUAAUUCGAAGCAACGCGAAGAACCUUACCAAAUCUUGACAUCCUUUGACAACUCUAGAGAUAGAGCCUUCCCCUUCGGGGGACAAAGUGACAGGUGGUGCAUGGUUGUCGUCAGCCCGUGUCGUGAGAUGUUGGGUUAAGUCCCGCAACGAGCGCAACCCUUAAGCUUAGUUGCCAUCAUUAAGUUGGGCACUCUAAGUUGACUGCCGGUGACAAACCGGAGGAAGGUGGGGAUGACGUCAAAUCAUCAUGCCCCUUAUGAUUUGGGCUACACACGUGCUACAAUGGACAAUACAAAGGGCAGCGAAACCGCGAGGUCAAGCAAAUCCCAUAAAGUUGUUCUCAGUUCGGAUUGUAGUCUGCAACUCGACUACAUGAAGCUGGAAUCGCUAGUAAUCGUAGAUCAGCAUGCUACGGUGAAUACGUUCCCGGGUCU